GAGUUUGAUCAUGGCUCAGAUUGAACGCUGGCGGCAUGCCUUACACAUGCAAGUCGAACGGCAGCAUGAUCUAGCUUGCUAGAUUGAUGGCGAGUGGCGAACGGGUGAGUAAUACAUCGGAACGUGCCCUGUAGUGGGGGAUAACUAGUCGAAAGAUUAGCUAAUACCGCAUACGACCUGAGGGUGAAAGUGGGGGACCGCAAGGCCUCAUGCUAUAGGAGCGGCCGAUGUCUGAUUAGCUAGUUGGUGGGGUAAAGGCCCACCAAGGCGACGAUCAGUAGCUGGUCUGAGAGGACGAUCAGCCACACUGGGACUGAGACACGGGCCCAGACUCCUACGGGAGGCAGCAGUGGGGAAUUUUGGACAAUUGGCGAAAGCCUGAUCCAGCAAUGCCGCGUGUGUGAAGAAGGCCUCGGUUGU
rnacentral:rRNA from 1 species